UGCCAGCAGCCGCGGUAAUACGGAGGGGGUUAGCGUUGUUCGGAAUUACUGGGCGUAAAGCGCGCGUAGGCGGCUAUUUAAGUCAGAUGUGAAAGUCCACGGCUCAACCGUGGAAGUGCAUUUGAAACUGGAUGGCUUGAGUACUGGAGGGGGUGGUGGAAUUCCCGGUGUAGAGGUGAAAUUCGUAGAUAUCGGGAGGAAUACCGGUGGCGAAGGCGACCACCUGGCCAGAUACUGACGCUGAGGUGCGAAAGCGUGGGUAGCGAACGGGAUUAGAUA
rnacentral:rRNA from 1 species